rnacentral:rRNA from 1 species
GAGGCAGACAAGCCGAGCAGGUGCGAAAGCAGGCUAAAGUGAUCCGGUGGUUCUGUAUGGAAGGGCCAUCGCUCAAAGGAUAAAAGGUACUCCGGGGAUAACAGGCUGAUCUUACCCAAGAGCUCAUAUCGACGGUAAGGUUUGGCACCUCGAUGUCGGUUCGUCACAUCCUGGGGCUGGAGAAGGUCCCAAGGGUUCGGCUGUUCGCCGAUUAAAGUGGCACGUGAACUGGGUUCAGAACGUCGCAAGACAGUUCGGUCCCUAUCUGUGGUGGGCGUUAGUAAAUUGAGUGGACGUGACCUUAGUACGAGAGGACCGGGUUGCAUGUACCGCUGGUGUAUCAGUUGUGCCGCCAGGUGCAAUGCUGAGUAGCUAUGUACAGU